rnacentral:misc_RNA from 1 species
GAUGAUUUUUAUGGUGAGGAUGAUGAAGUAACUAGCACAGAUCGCUCUCCUUGUGCAAAACAGGGGUGCUGCGGCUGCGGUGAGCAUGAGCAACAGUCUGUGGAACUUACAGAAGAAGUUGCCAGUUCUGAUGGCACAUGCAAAAGGCAAAGAUUGCUAGAUGGUGGGUACAAGAAAUCAUCAUACAUAGAAUCUAGAUGGCCCAAUGAUGAUGUGGAAGCAAAAUGUGUUAGAGGCUCUCUUCCUUCUAGUGGGAAGGAUAAGGAUUCCAGUUUGAGCACUAGGGAAAGGAAAGUUAAAAUUCGUGAAACCUUGAGGGUUCUU